CCCUUAGAUGUUCUGGGCCGCACGCGUGCUACACUGAUGCAUUCAACGAGUCUAAAACCUGGUCUGACAGGGCUGGGUAAUCUUUUGAAAGUGCAUCGUGAUUGGGAUAGAUGAUUGCAAUUCUUCAUCUUCAACGAGGAAUGCCUAGUAAACGCAAGUCAUCAGCUUGCAUUGAUUACGUCCCUGCCCUUUGUACACACCGCCCGUCGCUCCUACCGAUUGAAUGAUCCGAUGAAUAUCAUGGAUUGAGAGUACGAAUGGGUUCGCUCAUUUCUGCUGCUCGAGAAGUGAAGUAAAUCUUAUCAUUUAGAGGAAGGAGAAGUCGUAACA
rnacentral:rRNA from 1 species